UACCCUACGGGGCGCAGCAGUGGGGAAUAUUGCACAAUGGGGGGAACCCUGAUGCAGCGACGCCGCGUGGGCGAUGGAGUAUUUCGGUAUGUAAAGCCCUAUCGGCAGGGAAGAAGCUGACAGUACCUGACUAAGAAGCCCCGGCUAACUACGUGCCAGCAGCCGCGGUAAUACGUAGGGGGCAAGCGUUAUCCGGAUUCAAUGGGCGUAAAGGGAGCGCAGGCGGCCAGGCAAGCCUGGUGUGAAAACCCGGGGCCCACACCCGGGAGUGCAUUGGGAACUGCCGCGCUCGGGUGCCGGGGGGG
rnacentral:rRNA from 1 species